GGCCACAGCCAUAUCACCCUGCAGCCCAAGACUGGUUGCCCACUGAAGCUAAGCAGGGCUGAGCCUGGUCAGUACCUGGAUGGGAGACCUCCUGGGAAAACUAGGUUGCUGUUUUGA
rnacentral:rRNA from 1 species